AGGAAAAUUAUGUGAUCACAAAAGUAUCAUCGUAAGGAUCAGUGCUGAACACUGUCCAGUUGCUGUGAAAAACGCAGAAUCUGUUAGUUUUUUGUGCUUGUUUUUUUUUCAUCGAUCCUCUGUCCUUUUGAUCAAUCGCGAGGUUCAGGAGGGCUUGGUGAACGGAGGCUCAUCAGUAUUAGCUGCACCACAUUGCCUCUUUUUAUUCGCGGACAAAGGUAUAUCACCGACCCAUUAUUGGUAGGUCGAGCUUCGACUAAUGGCCACAGCUUUGUAUUACCUGUGCGUUAUGGCAGUUUAUCAACAACUGACCUAUGGCGAGGCAAAAUGAACAACAGCUCGCUCAACAACAUGCCCGUCCACGCUCGGCAGAUUUAUUUUGUUUAGAAGAAACUGAAAUGUCUGGAUGAUGAGAAAAAAGGACGUUGUUUAAACUCAUGUGCACAUUGAAACUUAAUUAUUUUUGCCAGAAUAGUUUACUUUUAAAUUAACGUUUGUUUAUUUUGUGUUCAUACGUUUUGAUCGCCCUAUGAAUUUACCGGCUGUGAUAAACACUUUACUUCUUGGUUAAUACACUCAGCCCUGUGAAAAAGAAAACAUUUGUAGCUUAGCACGCCUUUCUACUGAGAACUUUUCUGGUCCGGGCCAAGACGGUAUUUGAGGAGAGACUCAACAGCAGUUCUUACACAAUGUAUUGUCAUGCCAAGGAUUAUGUUAGCUCCUUGAUUUAAAUAAGUUCUUCAAUAGGGGGUUUUAGCUUUCAAACUACAACUUGAACAAGUUUGAUGAUGUUCAAAAAAGGUUAAUUUUGAGUUCUGUUCACCAGGUCUCACCAGAUCUGCUGUCGUGAUCGAACACCACGUUAAAAAUACUGUUCGCAAAGCGGCCUUUGGGGACCGAUCACCGAACUCAGCGUUGAUUUCACAUAUUUUUUAGUGUAGACUAAAAUUCUAGGUAGCAUUUACAACCCCGGUAUCAUAGAUGCACUUCAAAAAAACUUUCUUGUCACACGACUCGGAGUUGGGAGUUUAAAUUUUGCUCACAGUUUCAUUUUUCUUGUACGCAUGACUCCAUCCACCGAUUGAACAAACGUUUCACGUAGACAAGAUUUUUCUGUCCAAAUUAUUUUUUCCUCAGUUUUCCUUUAAACGUUUCAUAUAAAACAAAUCAAUGUCACAUCCCUUCAAUCCAAGCUCCACGUUAACUGAAAACACUUUGUGUUUAGUAUUCAUCCUAAGGAGUCGAAAGGCUGAUUAAAUUCAGUUUAAUUGGAACAGAUCUUUGUAUCCCUUGUUUUGGGGAUACAUUCA